GUCGGUUGGCGGGAUCGUCACUCCAUUCGAAGUCCAGCAUUGAGUAUGGUUAUCACUGGAUUUGGCCCAUAGAGGGUGAGAGGCCCGUACGAGUGGAGAUUCAGAUAUGUGUGACGGUUCACCAGGCCGACCUCAGAGUCGGGUUGUUUGAGAUUGCAGCCCAAAGAGGGUGGUAAACUCCAUCCAAGGCUAAAUACUGACACGAGUCCGAUAGCGAACAAGUACCGUGAGGGAAAGUUGAAAAGUACUCUGAAGAGAGAGUAAACAGUACGUGAAGCCGCAUGCAGGUAAACGGGUGGCGUCAAGCUGCGAGCCCGGAGGAUUCAGCUGAUUAGGAUGUAGUGUACGCGCGCCUGGUGCGUCGAGAGACCAGAAUAAGAUGUAUUGCGGUUCACUCCUAUACUGGGAGUGAGGCACUAUUGGUGUGCACGUGCAAACGUGUAUGCCGAUUGUCGCUAUGCAUGCCGGGUGGGUGCCGGAGCAUGCCGCUCGUCUGUUGGGUCACCUAGUCAGUGCAUUUUCUCCGUGGUGAACACCAUGACCGGUGGAACUGCCAGUCUGCUGUUAUCAAGUCGUAUCCUUCUGACCCCCCUAUCUGCCUUUCACCUUCACUUCUUCCUCUCCAAUGUGGGCGGCGGUAGUGGUAGUAGAUUGGUGGAUGUGUGUGUGUGUCAGUUGGAUACGAUCGCAGAUAGAGUUAGUGGACGGCGUAGUGGUACCUCGGUACUGCCGCGUGUUAUCGUACACUCUCUGUCCUAAUCGAUUAAUGGGGUUUGACUAAGUACUGUAACUGCCUCUCCAUUAAUCGGCGGAUAACAGUGGUAAAAAUGACUGUGCAGGGCACUGGAGUUAUCCACCUCAUCCAUUUAUUCUAUCAUUUAUUCAUUUAUUCAUUUAUUCAUCCAUUCAUUUAUUCAUUCAUUCAUUCAUUCAUUCAUUCAUUCAUUCAUUCAUUCGUGGAUGGAUGGAUGGGUAGGUGGGUGGAUGGGUGGAUUGAAUGUGUGAAUUAGUGAGUGAGUAAGUGAGUUAGUGAGUGGAAUGAAUGGACAUGGUACCCGACACGCACGUUACAGGUGCUAUGGAAUCGGAGCACGCCGCUGUUUGCCUGGUGUUGGACCUGACAGUCGUGUUGCCUGCACAAAGUGGGUCCGGCGGUGGUUGCAGACACUUGGCAGUGGCAGUGUGUAGCGUGUUUCGGGUGUGUGUGGUAUCGGGGGUGAAAUAGUCAAUGGUGCUGUGGUAGACGAGCUACCCGACCCGUCUUGAAACACGGACCAAGGAGUUUAACAUGUGUGCGAGUCAAAGGGUCCUACGAAACCCCGAGGCGCAGUGAAAGUGAAGUUCAUGCUGUACUUCUGUGCAUACACACAGUACAGCGUGGCGAGGUGAGAUCUCCUUGUGCUCAUGACACACGCCGCAGACCUUACUGGGCAAUAUUGGGGCAAGGAGCGCAUCACCGGCCCGUCGCAUGUUGUGGUUA
rnacentral:rRNA from 1 species